GAUGAACGCUGGCGGCGUGCUUAACACAUGCAAGUCGAACGAGAAAUGUAGACGGAAACCUUCGGGCGGAAGCCUUCAUUUCGAGUGGCGGACGGGUGAGUAACGCGUGGGUAACCUGCCUCAUACAGGGGGAUAACAGUUGGAAACGACUGUUAAUACCGCAUAAGACCACCGCAUCGCAUGAUGCGGGGGUAAAAACUCCGGUGGUAUGAGAUGGACCCGCGUUCGAUUAGCCAGUUGGCGGGGUAACGGCCCACCAAAGCGACGAUCGAUAGCCGAUCUGAGAGGAUGACCGGCCACAUUGGGACUGAGACACGGCCCAAACUCCUACGGGAGGCAGCAGUGGGGAAUAUUGCACAAUGGGGGAAACCCUGAUGCAGCGACGCCGCGUGAGUGAAGAAGUACUUCGGUAUGUAAAGCUCUAUCAGCAGGGAAGAAAAUGACGGUACCUGAGGAAGAAGCCCCGGCUAACUACGUG
rnacentral:rRNA from 1 species